GCUGGAUUGGGCAGGAGGAUUGUGGGGGAAGGUGAAUUCUGCCUCUGCAUGGAGCCACCAGCAUGGACACGGUCCACUGCCUGGAGUUUGAUCAGCAGAGCCCUCUCGUCAGCAGGGAGGCCAGGAACUCCCUUGUUCCAGGUGGUGAGGAGGCUCCCCAUCUGUGUAGCAUCCUCUUGUGGAGAAUGAGCUGGGGCUCGCCUCACGCGGGGAGCUUCCGAGCCAGCAAAGAUGGCAAACAGUAAUUGCAGCGAGUCUUUGGGGGAAAUGAAUAAAUGGACUUGUGCAGGAGCGAGUGACAUGUGCUAGAGGCUAGGAUUUACCUGUGACCAGGAGCUGAUCCCAGGACCUCUUGCACUCAAGGGGUUCUGGGACUAAGGACUGGUCUCCGCUCUGAGUCUCCUCUUCUGGGGUCCACCACCGAGGAGAUACUACUCAGUAGCUAAGUUCAUGAGCCAAG
ensembl:lncRNA